GCUGUAGCGCGGUGGUCCCACCUGACCCCAUGCCGAACUCAGAAGUGAAACGCCGUAGCGCCGAUGGUAGUGUGGGGCCUCCCCAUGCGAGAGUAGGGAACUGCCAGGC
rnacentral:rRNA from 4 species